rnacentral:lncRNA from 1 species
AUGGAAAGGACUAAACAUGGUACAAACACAGAAAGGGGAAGGCAAGUGAUGUUGGAGAACAGAAAAGGAGUGUGCCCGUAUUACCGGCAUGGAAGCACAAGCAGUUUGCUAGUUGAGUUAUGGGUGAAAGACUCCACGGACCACUGUAUAAAUCCUGACGCCCACAAACAUCACACACACAUGGGCAUCAUUCGUGUAAGGAUUGAAAGACGUUUAAGCCAGUAUAACAUGGGUUAGCUAAACAAAU